rnacentral:rRNA from 1 species
UGCAGUCGAGCGGUAACAGGGUGCUUGCGCCGCUGACAAGUGGCGAACGGAUGAGUAAUGCGUCGGAAUGUACCGUGUAAUGGGGGAUAGCUCGGCGAAAGCCGGAUUAAUACCGCAUACGCCCUGAGGGGGAAAGCGGGGGAUCGAAAGACCUCGCGUUAUACGACCAGCCGACGUCUGAUUACCUAGUUGGUGAGGUAAGAGCUCACCAAGGCGACGAUCAGUAGCGGGUCUGACAGGAUGAUCCGCCACACUGGGACUGAGACACGGCCCACACUCCUACGGGAGGCAGCAGUGGGGAAUUUUGGACAAUGGGGGCAACCCUGAUCCAGCCAUGCCGCGUGUCUGAAGAAGGCCUUCGGGUUGUAAAGGACUUUUGUCAGGGAGGAAAUCCCGCUGGUUAAUACCCGGCGGGGAUGACAGUACCUGAAUAAUAAGCACCGGCUAACUACGUGCCAGCAACCGCGGUAAUACGUACGGUGCGAGCGUUAAUCGGAAUUACUGGGCGUAAAGCGUGCGCACGCGGUUGUGCAAGUCUGAUGUGAAAGCCCCGGACUUAACCUGGGAACGGCAUUCGAGACUGCACAGCUAGAGUGCGUCAGACGGGGGUAGAAUUCCACGUGUAGCAGUGAAAUGCGUAGAGAUGUGGAGGAAUACCGAUGGCGAAGAGCAGCCCCCUGGGAUGACACUGACGCUCAUGCACGAGAGCGUGAGGAGCAAACACGAGUAGAUACCCUGGUAGUCCACGCCCUAGACGAUGUCAACUAGCUGUUGGGGGGUUUGAAUCCUUGGUAGCGUACCUAACGCGUGAAGUUGACCGCCUGGGGAGUACGGCCGCAAGGUUAAAACUCACAGGAA